AUUGAACGCUGGCGGCAUGCUUUACACAUGCAAGUCGAACGGCAGCGCGGGCUUCGGCCUGGCGGCGAGUGGCGAACGGGUGAGUGAUACAUCGGAACGUGCCCAGUAGUGGGGGAUAGCUCGGCGAAAGCCGGAUUAAUACCGCAUACGACCUGAGGGUGAAAGCGGGGGAUCUUCGGACCUCGCGCUAUUGGAGCGGCCGAUGGCAGAUUAGCUAGUUGGUGGGGUAAAGGCCUACCAAGGCGACGAUCUGUAGCUGGUCUGAGAGGACGACCAGCCACACUGGGACUGAGACACGGCCCAGACUCCUACGGGAGGCAGCAGUGGGGAAUUUUGGACAAUGGGUGAAAGCCUGAUCCAGCAAUGCCGCGUGUGUGAUGAAGGCCUUCGGGUUGUAAAGCACUUUUGGCGGGAACGAAAAGGACUGUGCCAAUACCACGGUUCGAUGACGGUACCCGCAGAAUAAGCACCGGCUAACUACGUG
rnacentral:rRNA from 1 species